CAGAGGAGGCAAGAAUGAUGAAAUCCUCAAGAGUUUUAUUAGUGAUCCUGUGGCUUCAGUUAAUCUCGGUGAGCAGCCCACAGAACACAGUGGAGCAGAGUCCUGCAUCUCUGCCUGUCCCAGAGGGAGACGUCGCCUCUCUCAGCUGCACUUAUCACAGUGGAGCAGAGUCCUGCAUCUCUGCCUGUCCCAGAGGGAGCCGUCGCCUCUCUCAGCUGCACUUAUUCUGACAGUGCUUCUACGUACUUCGAAUGGUACAGACAGUACCCUGGGAAAGGCCCCGAGUUUCUGCUGUACGUAUAUGCCGACAAAGACAAAGAGGAAGGAAAAUUUACAGCGCAGGCCACUAAAGCCAACAAGCAUGUCUCCCUGCUUAUCAGAGACUCCGAGCCCGGCGACUCAGCCACCUACCUCUGUGCAGCGAGCACACAGUGCUCCCCAGGCACCGGCAGCCUGUGCCCAAACCUGCUGGGGCCCCAGCAGUGCCUCGUGGAGAGCUUAGGCUGCAGGGCGCAGACAUCCUGUUACCUCUCUAGAUGUAAAUGA